CAUACUUGUGUAUAUAUAUUGUGUGUAUAUUUGUAUUGAAUCCAUUUUAGAAUAAGGCUGUAACGUAACAAAAUGUGGAAAAAGUCAAGGGGUCUGAAUUCUUUCUGAAGUCACUAUACAUGUCCCACUGUCCUGCCAGACAUACAGCAUACCCAUUCCAUCUACACCCUAGCCCCUACACCCUAGCCCCUACUCCCUAGCUCCUACUCCCUAGCCCCUACUCUGUAGCCCUUAAUCCCUAGCCCUUACACCCCUCACUCCCCAUCCCAGGGAGCACCUCUUGUUGGCAGGACAGUGUAAAGAUAUAUUUUUGUUCUAAAUGUUGUCGUACUUCUGUCGUUUGUCUCAGAGUCACUAACAUCUCUCACUAAAAGGGGAACUCCAGAGAUGGGAUCUUUGGUCCAGAAAUGGGUUGUGCCCCAGAAAUGCCCAGCCCAGAAAUGCCCAUCCCAGAAAUGCCCAUCCCAGCUAAACCACUGGCCAAGUUCCAACAUGACUGUACUGCAGAAGCCUUCCAACAAAGCCAGGAUGUAGUGGGUGUAGUGUUUAACUUAUCAGCUGACCACAUCAUAUUAUAUAACCUUCUGAUGUCCCACUGAGCAGUCAAUUAUGUAAUGCAACAUCUGCAAUGUAGUCACCCUUUUCCCUAUAUAGUGGGGCUCCCGAGUGGCGCAGUCGUCUAAAGCAAGAGGCGUCACUACAGUCCCUGGUUCACAUCUGGCCGUGACUGGGAGUCCCAUAGGGCGGCGCACAAUUGGCCCAGCAUCGUCCGGAUUUGGCCGGGGUAGGCUGUCAUUGUAAAUAAGAAUUUGUUCAUAACUGACUGAAAUAAAGGUUAAAUAAGGGUUAAAUAAAAAUGUAAAAUAAAAUAGUGCACUACCCCAUGAGGGUCUGGUUAAAAGUAGUGCACUAUGUAGGGAAUAGGGUGCCAUUUGAGAUGCUGUCUUGGUCAGUUAAAGGGGGAGGGACUUAUGAAGAGGAGGAGGACCUAGAUGGUCUGAGACAUAAUGUUGUCGUUCCAGACUGACUACAUUACAGAUGUACUCCAACCAAACACUUCCUGUGGGCCACAUCUUUGACUGCUCAGUGGGACAUCAGAAGAGUAGCGAGUGAUUUAGCUGGGCUGUUUGACUAACUGGGCCCAGUCCCAAAUGGACCCUUAAACCCUAAAGAGGGUUUAUGCACUUGAGGUGAUCUAAGAGGAUUUGACAGGUAAUGUAUAAUUAAUCUGGUAGUAUCUUCACUUUGCCCUCUCACAUCACCACACGUAGAUAAGGGCAUAAAGUUCAUUUGGGAUUGGGUCCUAGCCUUUAGGGGACUAAAGACUCCUUCACCUGGUGAGCGAUGGCGGCUGACAGAGACAACCUCAGAGAUAUCUUGUUAGCUCCUUGGGUUUGGAAUCAGAAUGACUAAUGAGUAGAGAACUCCCAAACUGUUGAUUUCUGUUAAUAAUAAAGAAGCUGUUUGUUUUCCUC